AGUGAACGCUGGCGGUAGGCCUAACACAUGCAAGUCGAACGGCAGCACAGUAAGAGCUUGCUCUUACGGGUGGCGAGUGGCGGACGGGUGAGGAAUACAUCGGAAUCUACUUUUUCGUGGGGGAUAACGUAGGGAAACUUACGCUAAUACCGCAUACGACCUACGGGUGAAAGCAGGGGAUCUUCGGACCUUGCGCGAUUGAAUGAGCCGAUGUCGGAUUAGCUAGUUGGCGGGGUAAAGGCCCACCAAGGCGACGAUCCGUAGCUGGUCUGAGAGGAUGAUCAGCCACACUGGAACUGAGACACGGUCCAGACUCCUACGGGAGGCAGCAGUGGGGAAUAUUGGACAAUGGGCGCAAGCCUGAUCCAGCCAUACCGCGUGGGUGAAGAAGGCCUUCGGGUUGUAAAGCCCUUUUGCUGGGAAAGAAAAGCAGCAGGUUAAUACCCCGCUGUUCUGACGGUACCCAAAGAAUAGGCACCGGCUAACUUCGUG
rnacentral:rRNA from 1 species